ACCGAUCGUAGUCCGGAUCGCAGUCUGCAACUCGACUGCGUGAAGUCGGAAUCGCUAGUAAUCGUGAAUCAGAACGUCACGGUGAAUACGUUCCCGGGCCUUGUACACACCGCCCGUCACACCAUGGGAGUGGGUUGCUCCAGAAGUAGCUAGUCUAACCCUCGGGAGGACGGUUACCACGGAGUGAUUCAUGACUGGGGUGAAGUCGUAACAAGGUAGCCGUAGGGGAACCUGCGGCUGGAUCACCUCCUUAA
rnacentral:rRNA from 1 species